GUCCACGUGCCCUCGCAGAUGAGACCCUAUCAAUGUUGCCUCUGCUUUCACUUGAGUCAACAGAGUAGUGCAAUAUUGCUUAUAGGGUCUUGCCUGUGAGGGAGGCUCCCCGGGC
rnacentral:pre_miRNA from 11 species